CGGCCUAGGAGGGACUUCCUCCUCUUUCGGCCCCGCCUCCUGGCUCGGGAAUCUCUGUUGGGCGGGGAAGUCUCGCGAGCUUUCCUCCCUGCUCCGCGAGAAAUUGUCUGUAGAAGGUUGAUGGAGCAGUGGUGUUUGUUGCUGAACUGUUUUCCGGAUUUGUAGGGCGGAUGUUGAAUGGCGGGUUGUCAACUCUGGACUUGCUGUCAACUGACCAGAGCCAGGCUGGGAAGUCCGAAUGCGUGGACAGGUCUAGGGCGAAGCCAAGUGUAGGGACUCAUUCUGUCAGCCCGAAAAGGGCUGGGGGCGGGGGUUGAGGGUGUUUGAGUCUUAUGUGAAGUCGAGCCCCUCACCCAUUAAAAUCCGUUAUAGAAUCUGCGAGACUUCAUCCGGGAAAGUGUUCCAUGGCCACGGUGAGCAGUGGGCGAUCUUAAUGUUCCACAAACGCGUUGACAGUUCUUAUUUCCCGCCAAAGCGUUCUUCCGUUAGCCUCUUAGCACGGACCAUUAAAAGGCUCGGAGAGAAACCGGCCGCAGCGACGAGGCAAGCGCAGGCGGGCAGCCUCACAGUCCUCGUGUGCCGCAAGAACGAAGGGUUCCUGGCGUUCAGUUAACGUCGCUCGCCCGAAGGCCGUGGCUCCCAGUGUAGUUCAGCUGCCUCUCCGUUCUCUUAUUUGGUCCCUCAGCUCAACCACUUGAAAGAUGAACAUGGGGAAGGUACACACGUUGGUCCCGCGGUGUAUUUUGGGAGUUGUAGUCAUCUUUAUGGUUGUCAAAGUGUGUUUAUGUUUUGGCGAGAUUAGUUAGGCGUGAACUCAUCACCAUACGUUUAAAGGGGUGUCUUAUGCACCUAGUCGCUUGAUUAAAAACGAUUUCAAAUUUUGAUCUAUCUUUGCUUUUUCAAAAAUGUAUAAAGGAUCAAGAAAGUAUAAAGGAUCAAGAAAAUUAGCCUGGUCUGCAGCCAUUCAUCUGUAAAGACUGCACAUAGAAAAACAGACAGGAGCAUCUCUUUGAGGACCAGGCCAGCCUAUGGAUCCUGCUGAGGACAGAAGAGGUUGCCGGUUCCCUUGGAACUGCAGUUUACUGGUAGUUGCCAUAAACUACCACUGUAAGCCACCACAUGGGUGCUGGGAACCCAGUCCUAACUGCUGAGCCAUCUCUCCAGCCCAUUUCUAAGUUUUGACUGCUGUUUGCCAAACUAUGGACAUUACAUACAUUGAAUCUUAUGCUCGAGGUUUUGAAAUCGUUUUGCUCAUUGUCUGCAAUAUUUCCCUCUUUGCCACUAGAAGAAAAAGCAACACAAUAAAAAUUGUAACUCCAUCAAAACCCUGAUUAUUCUGGAAUGUAGACCAAGCCAACAUGGAAGAAUCAGAGAACCUCCUGCCUUUGUCUCCUGGGUGUUGGGAUUAAAAAUAUGUGUGCCACAAGG
rnacentral:sRNA from 1 species